GGUGAACCUGCGGAAGGAUCAUUAUUGAAUUU
rnacentral:rRNA from 1 species